GUCCGAGCGGUAAACGAUGUCCACCAGGUGUUGGAGGUAUCGACCCCGCCAGCGCCGCAGCUAACGUGAUGAGUGGACCGCCUGGGGAGUACGGCCGCAAGGUUAAAACUCAAAGGAAUUGACGGGGGCCCGCACAAGCAGCGGAGUGUGUGGUUUAAUUCGAAGCAACGCGAAGAACCUUACCUGGGUUUGACAUGCGCCUGCACCGCCGAGAGAUCGGCGUCCCUUCGGGGCGGGCGCACAGGUGCUGCAUGGCUGUCGU
rnacentral:rRNA from 1 species